GAUGAACGCUAGCGGCAGGCCUAAUACAUGCAAGUCGAACGGUGUCUUCGGACAUAGUGGCGCACGGGUGCGUAACACGUAUGCAACCUACCUUACAUUGGGGGAUAGCCUUUCGAAAGGGAGAUUAAUACCGCAUAAGACAGUAGCUGGGCAUCCAGCAGCUGUUAAAGAUUUAUCGAUGUAAGCUGGGCAUGCGUCCAAUUAGCUAGUUGGUGAGGUAAUGGCUCACCAAGGCAAUGAUUGGUAGGGGAACUGAGAGGUCAAUCCCCCACACUGGCACUGAGAUACGGGCCAGACGCCUACGGGAGGCAGCAGUAGGGAAUAUUGGGCAAUGGACGCAAGUCUGGCCCAGCCAUGCCGCGUGCAGGAUGAAGGCGUUAUGCGUUGUAAACUGCUUUUAUACAGGAAGAAACGACUCUUGCGAGAGGCAUUGACGGUACUGUAUGAAUAAGCACCGGCUAACUCCGUGCCAGCCGCCGCCGUAAGAC
rnacentral:rRNA from 1 species